rnacentral:rRNA from 1 species
AGCGUAGGCGGAGAAAUAAGUUAGGAGUUUAAUGUACGGGCUUAACCCGUAAUCUGCUUCUGAUACUGUUUUUCUUGAGUAUGGGAGAGGGAGAUGGAAUUCCAGGUGUAGCGGUGGAAUGCGUAGAUAUCUGGAAGAACACCAGCUGCGAAGGCGGUCUCCUGGCCCAAUACUGACGCUGAGGCUCGAAAGCUAGGGGAGCAAACAGGAUUAGAUACCCUGGUAGUCCUAGCCGUAAACGAUGGACACUAGAUGCUGGAGGAGUCAAUCCUUUCGGUGUCGUAGCUAACGCGUUAAGUGUCCCGCCUGGGGAGUACGCUCGCAAGGGUGAA